rnacentral:rRNA from 1 species
UACGAAAGGUGCGAGCGUUAAUCGGAAUUACUGGGCGUAAAGCGUGCGUAGGCGGCUAUUUAAGUCGGAUGUGAAAGCCCCGGGCUCAACCUGGGAGGUGCAUCCGAUACUGGGUAGCUAGAGUGUAGUAGAGGGAGGUGGAAUUUCCGGUGUAGCGGUGAAAUGCGUAGAGAUCGGAAGGAACACCAGUGGCGAAGGCAACCUCCUGGGCCUGAAUUGACACUGAGACACGAAAGCGUGGGGAUCAAACAGG